rnacentral:lncRNA from 1 species
AACAAGACCUUCUGGAGAAGCCCCAUCUCAUGAGGCUUCUGAGAAAACCUGAGGAAGCCUGGACACAGGCUUCCCAUGGCCAUUCCUUGUCACCAACCCUGAGAGAUACUGGCCGGAAGUCUGGAGUGCUGGGACUGGAACCCUGACCCGAGGCCUGGACCGCCACACUCCCCAUCUUGUUACAGAUUUUUAUUUUUUAUUAUUAGGAAAGUCAGAGGCUGCCAUUCUUUACAGGCUUUUCCCAUUAUGGUGUUAGAGUCUAUAAUUAGGUCUCUAUUAGAAAUCACCAGCAGUGCCCUAAUUCUUAUGUGGGUCAGGAGUCCACAGUGGCCGAGGCGUGGCUUUUUAGCUAUGAAUUCAGUGACUCAGGGAAGCAGGGGACUCUGUUACAAUAGCAGCUAAGCACGCGGCACCCAGCUAAGACAUUUAAUGUGUCCCCACUUAAUCUUCACUGAAACCCCACACGGUGAAGGCUGCUAUUAUCCUCCACACACAGAGGAGGACAAUGGGACUCGGAGAGGUCACAAAGCUUGCUGGGCUCCUGCAGCUGGUGAGUGGGGCCUCAGCAGACAGACUCUGCUCGCCCUCUCUCUGGGCUGACUUCUGCCCAGACGGCCACACCUUCCAGCUGGCCUGUCACCCCUCCCAGUGUGGCGCAGAGUGUGCUUCUGUAGGUAUGGGGCUGAUGGCCGACGGCUUGAAAGGAAUCAUCACCCUGCCCAGUACUGGAAAACAUGACCGAAACACGAACAAAUGGAAGCGAAGCUGCAGUAAGUCUCCUGCUUCUAGAAUAACCAUCUGCAGUUGCAAUUCCAUGAUACCCUGGCAUCUAAGAAGGAGUUUAGGAUCUUGCCUACCAUCUUUAGCUAUUACUUUAUGGGGAGAGGAUAUAUGUUCUGAAUUCCAAAUCCUUCCAAGGUGGUGCUGGAUUCAAUUCAGACUAAGAGGACCAUCAACAAGUCAGAGCAGAAAGGCUUUCAUCUGUGAAUAAUGGGCCACCCUCAACCUCACACCUCCCAGCACCCCCACCAAGAGUCAACAUGAAAAUAAAGGAAGGUAAUGACCAGGAGUGCUCCAGAGGAUUCCACGCAACAGCGCCUCCGAGCAAGGAGUCCUCAGAUCAUAAGGAGGAUUCCAUUUCGAAGUGAUGAGAGG